rnacentral:rRNA from 1 species
GACGAACGCUGGUGGCGUGCCUAAUACAUGCAAGUCGAGCGGACCAAUAGAAGCUUGCUUCUGUUGGUUAGCGGCAGACGGGUGAGUAACACGUGGGCAACCUGCCUGUAAGACUGGGAUAACUUCGGGAAACCGGAGCUAAUACCGGAUAAUUCAUCCCCUCGCAUGAGGGGAUGCUGAAAGUCGGUUUACGCUGACACUUACAGAUGGGCCCGCGGCGCAUUAGCUAGUUGGUGAGGUAAUGGCGCACCAAGGCGACGAUGCGUAGCCGACCUGAGAGGGUGAUCGGCCACACUGGGACUGAGACACGGCCCAGACUCCUACGGGAGGCAGCAGUAGGGAAUCUUCCACAAUGGACGAAAGUCUGAUGGAGCAACGCCGCGUGAGCGAUGAAGGCCUUCGGGUCGUAAAGCUCUGUUGUUAGGGAAGAACAAGUAUCGGAGUAACUGCCGGUACCUUGACGGUACCUAACCAGAAAGCCACGGCUAACUACGUGCCAGCAGCCGCAGUAACAC